UUUCUAACACCUUUCAGUAUGUCAAAUUGAAAUAUUCACAAAUAAAUAUAAUAUGCUAAGGGUUAUGUGCAUGUAUUGUAAUUUGUGAUUUCAUAAACAAUAAACAGAUUGUCAUUUCUCAGUAAUGAUAUUCAAUUUAAGGUCACAAAGAGAAGAAUUGUUAUCAGUGAUGUGUAUUAUUCCAUAAAUAUUUUGGUGUUGAAAUUUGCCUUUAUCAGUAGAUAUAUCUCAAGCUGACACAACAGAUAAAAGAUCAGCUCUCCCCCAAUUAAAUCAAAUAUGCAUCAUAAACACUAAUCUCUUAUCAGUGAUGCAGCAAUGCCUAACAAAGGGGUGCAUAUCAUCUGCAUACUUUUGAUUGGUUGAUAGUUUUUGUUUUGAAAACAAGCCACUUUUGAUUGGUUUAGGGCACAGGAAGUAAAUUUGUUUAAACAAGCAGGUGUCAGCAACUGAUAAUGAGCUACAUUUUUAGACAUGAUUUAGCAAAUUAAGAUUUUAAAUUGUACUUGUAGUGUCAAAUGUCUUGAAAUACUGUCAGCAUGAAGUAUUGUGUGAUGAAAACAAAGUGUAUUUACUACAAUGUAGUAAAUCAAAGGAGGUCCAAAGUGGCUGGAUACUGAAGAACAGUUGUAACAGGUAAAACUCUUGCCCCAAGGAAAGAAUGUGCAUUAUCACCUGCUAAAAAAGGAAGAAACAGGGGGAUACUUACUGAUGUAUGGACUUUAACACCAGGUUUUUACCCUUCAAGAGUUGGCCAACUAAAGUGAAGCAGGAGAGUGGGCUGUGCUUGACUAAGAAAAGCUGGAUUUGUUGAGAGAUCAAUACGCAUUCAAGAUCCUUAAGAAGAGAAGGACACAAGCAACAUCAGUGGUAGAUGUCACUCCAGCCCCUGCUUUUCCGGUCUCGCCUGCUGCUUUCCAGGUCCCUCCAGCUGCCAAGAUCAGGUCUAGGCACUGGCUGCCAUCCAGGUCCCCCUGGCGGUUGCGGUCGUGUUCUCAAAUGGCUGCUGUACUGGACUACUGGUCCCACCACCAUAUUCGGUCAAGGUCUCUCCAAAUGCUGAAGUCCAGGUUCCUCCGGCCACUGCGGUUCAGGUACCCCCAACAGCUGUGACCUAGUUCUCUGCAGCAGCUGCGAUCUAAAUAUAUUGACCCACUGCGGAACACUGCGGUUAAUCGUUUUUUCCAUACAAUCUUCCACAAAUGCCUCAUUUUAUAAUGAAGUGUACAAUUCUUAUGUUCAUAUUUGUUUGUGUUAUAAAGAUGAUUUUCCUGCACAUUGUGUUUUUUUCCCUUAAAACUGCAUGGGGCUAUUACUUUUUUUACUGAAACAUAUCAGCACAAAAUUGUAAAAGACUUUAACAUACUUUAAUACAAAAAAGUGUUUAAACCCACAGGAACCCGUCUGUAGAUCUGCCAUAGUCAUUAGCACUUUUCUAUGGAUUUCCAUAGAAAAUAUUACGGAAUUCUACGGAAAUCGAUGGAAAUCCAUGGAAUUUGAUGGAAUUCCAUCCACUUGCCAAUUUUCCAUCUGAAGCUGUUAUGGAAUUCCACGGAAUAUCAACUAAAAUUCCAUGCAUUUCCACGGAAUGUAUGGAAAACACCAUGGAAAGUUGGACUUAGCCAUUUUUUUCAACGGAAAUCGUUAUGGAAAAUAACUUAUACAUUUUCUUGGAUGGAAAUCAAUGGAAAAUAACUUAGAAAAUUUUCGCUGGUUGUCUGAAAUGUAUUUGUAGUUUAAUACAUGUAUGAAUUUAUUUGCAUCAUGUAUUUUGUAUUUAAAAGAAAAUGCAAUAAGGAUAAAUAUAAAUUUGUUCUAGAAAUUGGAACAGUUCUGGAACUGUUCCAUAUUUGUGUUCUAAAACGUAUGUUCUGGAAUUGUUCCAAAACAGUUUUUUUAGAAUAAAUCCAGAACAUUUGUGGAAAAUGGCUUAGGACUGAAACUGUUCCAAUAAUUUCAAGAACCUUUUUAGAACAUUUCAAGGACAAAAUAUGGUCAAGAAAUUUCUAAAAAUGUUUUAAAAUGUAGUUCUAGAACACAUCUAGAAUGCUUUAAGAACCAGUAAGUUCUACAAAAGUUCUAAUGGGGAAUUAGAACACAUAUAGAACACCUUACACUUACAAAUAGCCAAAUAGACUUCAUAGUAGCGACAGCAGCAGCAGCAGUAGUAGUAGUUGUUGUAGAUGUAGUAGCUGUAUUAGUAGUAGUAGUUGUUGUUGUUGUAGUAGGUGUUGUUGUUGUAGUAAUUGAUGUAGUAGCAGUAGUGUUUUUUAUAUCAGUAGAGGUUGUGGUGGCAGAAGUAGUAGUAGAAAUAGUACCAUUAACAGUUUCUGAAGCAAUAGUAGUAGCAAUAGAAGUAGCAGUAGUAGCAGUUGUUGCAAUAGUAGCAGUUGUUGCUGCUGUUGUUGUUGCUGCUGUUGUUGUUGCUGCUGUUGUUGUUGCUGCUGCUGUUGUUGUUGCUGCUGUUGUUGCUGCUGCUGUUGCUGCUGUUAUUGUUGCUGCUGUUGUUGGUGGUGUUGUUGAUGCUGUAGUAAUUAAAGUAGUAGUUCUGCAGAAGUAGGAGUAGUUGUUACUUUCAAAGCAAUUUCUACAAGUUAAAAUUCCUUAACCCUGUCCAAGUGGUAUACACACUGUUUUUUCUCAAUAUCAAACUCAGCCAGUCCAGGUUGUCAAAUAACAAUCUAUCUGAUAACCCCAACGUGUGCUUUGCAUCAGAUGUUGGGUAUGUUUGCUGCAAAUCUAUUGGUUAUAAGAUAUAACAGCCUUUUCUAAUUGGCUGAAUUCAAAUACAGAAAGUUUACCUGUUAGAUUGAAACAUGAAACAUGGUGAACAAUGUACUGGUUAAACUUGUUAAAAUAAAGUUAAAGAAAUUUAACAAACAGAAGAGUUCAUGAGUUUUUCCAUUAAAAACACUUUCUUAAAAUACUUAUGUAUUUAUAUCAUUUGGAAAGUGACAUGAAAUAUUGCUAAAGAGUGAUGCAUACAGUGUUUGAGCAGUCUGUCUAGGAAUAGAACAACAACUGAAGGUUUGUGUUUUUUAUUAUUUCUAAAUAUUUCUUUAAAUUUAAUCUUCUUAUGACAUUAUUGUAGACCUUUUUAUGUGAUAUUUGAGGUUUUAGUAUGGCAAAUAUUAGUUUAAAAGCAGCUGUCACCCAUAUUUUCACCAAAUUUUCACUUAGUGGAGUUUGCAGGUUGAAAAAGGAAGUAAUAAGACCUAUGUGGAGAAAUUAAUAACGUUGAAUGUAGUAUAGGAAUUUUAUUAUGCAAGGUUAUGGAACUGAGGCUAAGGAAGUUUUGUACUGUGCAUGGUGAGCACUCAAUGCUCAUUAAUGGUGUUAAUGUUUAUUAUUUUCCCCCGCCAUAGGCGGAGGGAUAUUGUUUUGGCGUUGUCUGUCCGUCCUUCCAUCCUUCCGUCUGUCCGUCUUUCCAUCCGUCCGUAGCCAUAUCCUGGAAGUGCUUUGGCGGAUUUCAUUGAAACCUGGUUCGAGUAUAUAUACAUGGAUAAGAGGAUGAUGAACGCCAAAUGGAAUUGUACACCAUCUGUUAAAAACGGGGUUAUGGCGCUUUGUAUCUUUAAAAAAUGCUUGUUUGAGUGUCAAAUAUAAUACUUAUGUGUCCAGAAGCAUAUUGGCGGGGGAUAUCAAUUCAACGUAUUUGCUUGUAAAUAAAAAAUUAAACCAAUGGAAUUGGUUUUUAGGUAUCUGAGUGUGCAUUUUCAUACCAAUAGAAUUACACAUCAUUCUAUUUAUAGCAAUAUUAAAUUUAUACUAAUCAUACCAACAAAUUAAGUUAUGCUUAGUGCUUUGCGAUGUAUUCACUUCGUUUUAAGUUCUCUUUCUAAAGACCAUUUAACAACUUAAUAUUUAAAACAAUUCAUGAAUUACGUUCCCUACACAUUUUCAUUAUGUGCUUUAAUUACCAUUGACCAGUUGAUGGAAGAUACUGCAGAGUUUGGCAGGGAAAUAAUCUAACAGCAAAGCAGCUCUUUAAGCGCAUUUACCUAGAGGACUUACAGGGCCACAAAUUCAUGAGCACAUGUGAGCAGUAUACAAUGUACCUCAUACCAAAAAGGACCCGGAGGCAGUGACUGGUGUUCAAUAUUCUCAGAAGAAAAGGAAAAUGGCAGUGGAAGACUUGUACAAACAUUUUUAAAAACUAGCCUCUGUGUUAAGCCUGGCAGUCUGUGGCUAGUGACAUGUUUUAUUUCGGUUAC